rnacentral:rRNA from 1 species
UGGGGAAUAUUGCACAAUGGGGGAAACCCUGAUGCAGCGACGCCGCGUGAACGAAGAAGGUAUUCGUAUCGUAAAGUUCUGUCCUAUGGGAAGAUAAUGACAGUACCAUAGAAGAAAGCUCCGGCUAAAUACGUGCCAGCAGCCGCGGUAAUACGUAUGGAGCGAGCGUUGUCCGGAAUUAUUGGGCGUAAAGGGUACGCAGGCGGUUUAAUAAGUCGAAUGUUAAAGAUCGGGGCUCAACCCCGCAAAGCAUUGGAAACCGAUAAACUUGAGUAGUGGAGAGGAAAGUGGAAUUCCUAGUGUAGUGGUGAAAUACGUAGAUAUUAGGAGGAAUACCAGUAGCGAAGGCGACUUUCUGGACACAAACUGACGCUGAGGUACGAAAGCGUGGGGAGCAAACAGG